rnacentral:rRNA from 1 species
AGUGAACGCUGGCGGUAGGCCUAACACAUGCAAGUCGAACGGCAGCACAGUAAGAGCUUGCUCUUACGGGUGGCGAGUGGCGGACGGGUGAGGAAUACAUCGGAAUCUACUUUUUCGUGGGGGAUAACGUAGGGAAACUUACGCUAAUACCGCAUACGACCUACGGGUGAAAGCAGGGGAUCUUCGGACCUCGCGCGAUUGAAUGAGCCGAUGUCGGAUUAGCUAGUUGGCGGGGUAAAGGCCCACCAAGGCGACGAUCCGUAGCUGGUCUGAGAGGAUGAUCAGCCACACUGGAACUGAGACACGGUCCAGACUCCUACGGGAGGCAGCAGCGGGGAAUAUUGGACAAUGGGCGCAAGCCUGAUCCAGCCAUACCGCGUGGGUGAAGAAGGCCUUCGGGUUGUAAAGCCCUUUUGUUGGGAAAGAAAAGCAGCAGGUUAAUACCCCGCUGUUCUGACGGUACCCAAAGAAUAAGCACCGGCUAACUUCGU